rnacentral:rRNA from 1 species
AGGACGAACGCUGGCGGCGUGCUUAACACAUGCAAGUCGAGCGGAAAGGCCCUUCGGGGUACUCGAGCGGCGAACGGGUGAGUAACACGUGAGUAAUCUGCCCCUAGCUCUGGGAUAGCUCCGGGAAACCGGGAUUAAUACCAGAUACGACCACUUUAGACAUCUGUUGUGGUGGAAAGAAUUUUGGCUAGGGAUGAGCUCGCGGCCUAUCAGCUUGUUGGUGAGGUAACGGCUCACCAAGGCGACGACGGGUAGCCGGCCUGAGAGGGCGGCCGGCCACACUGGGACUGAGACACGGCCCAGACUCCUACGGGAGGCAGCAGUGGGGAAUAUUGCGCAAUGGGCGAAAGCCUGACGCAGCGACGCCGCGUGGGGGAUGAAGGCCUUCGGGUUGUAAACCCCUUUCAGCAGGGACGAAGCGAAAGUGACGGUACCUGCAGAGAAGCGCCGGCUAACUACGUGCCAGCAGCCGC